rnacentral:rRNA from 1 species
GACGAACGCUGGCGGCGUGCUUAACACAUGCAAGUCGAACGGAAAGGCCCUGCUUUUGUGGGGUGCUCGAGUGGCGAACGGGUGAGUAACACGUGAGUAACCUGCCCUUGACUUUGGGAUAACUUCAGGAAACUGGGGCUAAUACCGGAUAGGGGCUCCUGCUGCAUGGUGGGGGUUGGAAAGUUUCGGCGGUUGGGGAUGGACUCGCGGCUUAUCAGCUUGUUGGUGGGGUAGUGGCUUACCAAGGCUUUGACGGGUAGCCGGCCUGAGAGGGUGACCGGCAACAUUGGGACUGAGAUACGGCCCAGACUCCUACGGGAGGCAGCAGUGGGGAAUAUUGCACAAUGGGCGGAAGCCUGAUGCAGCAACGCCGCGUGCGGGAUGACGGCCUUCGGGUUGUAAACCGCUUUCGCCUGUGACGAAGCGUGAGUGACGGUAAUGGGUAAAGAAGCACCGGCUAACUACGUG